rnacentral:rRNA from 1 species
AACGUGGGCAACCUGCCCUGAAGCGGGGACGAACGUUCCGAAAGGGACGCUAAUACCGCAUGUGAACCCUUUAUGGCAUCAUAGAGUGUUCAAAGCCUUCGGGCACUUCAGGAUGGGCCCGCGGCCUAUCAGCUAGUUGGUGAGGUAACGGCUCACCAAGGCAACGACGGGUAGCUGGUCUGAGAGGACGAUCAGCCGGAUUGGGACUGAGAUACGGCCCAG